rnacentral:rRNA from 1 species
GUGGAUUAGUGGCGAACGGGUGAGUAACACGUGAGUAACCUGCCCCCUACUCUGGGAUAAGCCUGGGAAACUGGGUCUAAUACUGGAUAUGACCAAUCACUGCAUGGUGUGUUGGUGGAAAGAUUUUUUGGUGGGGGAUGGACUCGCGGCCUAUCAGCUUGUUGGUGGGGUAAUGGCCUACCAAGGCGACGACGGGUAGCCGGCCUGAGAGGGCGACCGGCCACACUGGGACUGAGACACGGCCCACACUCCUACGGGAGGCAGCAGUGGGGAAUAUUGCACAAUGGGCGAAAGCCUGAUGCAGCGACGCCGCGUGAGGGAUGACGGCCUUCGGGUUGUAAACCUCUUUCACUCUGGACGAAGCUAACGUGACGGUACCUGGAAAAGAAGCCCGGCUAACUACGUGCCUCCAACCGCGGUAAUACGUAAGGUGCCAGCGUUGUCCGGAAUUAUUGGGCGUAAAGAGCUUGUAGGCGGUUUGUCGCGUCUGCUGUGAAAGACCGGGGCUUAACUCCGGUUCUGAAGUGGGUACGGGCAGACUAGAGUGUGGUACGUGACACUGUAAUUCCUGUUGUAGAGGUGAAAUGCGCAUAUAUCAUGUGGAACUCCGAUGGCGAAAGCAGGUCUCUGGACCAUUACUGAAGCUGA